AUGGAGAAAGGGGCAGGGAGCUGGGGGUGGGUGGCGGGUCUGGUUUCUUCAGGAACAGGACGCGGUGGCGCCCCGGAUGUAGGAGGAGUCGGGGGCGUUGAGAACAGAGGGGCCGCAGGGGACAUCCCGCUAAUGAUGGAAAUGCCGGCUGCCUCCGGGGCUGCAAGGCCCGUGCGCACGUCAUGUCACACACUGCGGUGUCGCGAGGGACACACGCUCAGACGCACCGUUGCUGGAGCCAAGCCCGCGUGCACCGUCCCCGCAGUAGGCCGGCAGUCUGUCCCUAGAUGGAUGGUGGGGACUCCCGCCAACCGAGGGCCCGUCCCGUUGGGCUCACCGACAGACAUCUCUUUGGGUUUUUAAGUCCAGAUGCACAAAGUGGCUACUCUUCGGGCGACCAGAGAUCACAAAAUGCCCUGCCUCAUAUUCUUCCUCUGUUCCGCUUUCACGGAGAGCAAGCCCGCAAAAAAACAGCGUUGGAAUAGCCCGUUGGGAAGAUCUGCAUCUGUUCUCGCGGUGUUCCUAUUGCUCGAGAUAUUUUGGAACUCCUUCUAAACGUUUUUGAAAGUUGAGGGCCCCUUGCGAGCUGUGAAGAGCAGAAUUACCCAUGUCACCACGGAAUAUUUGUGCAAGUACCGAGCAAAACCGUCCGCACCAAAGAGGCACAUAAAAGAUCCCGUGAAGGGGCGCCUGGGUGGCUCAGUCGGUUGAACGGCUGACUUCGGCUCAGGUCACGAUCUCGCAGUCCGUGAGUUCAAGCCCCGCGUCGGGCUCUGUGCUGACAGCUCAGAGCCUGGAGCCUGUUUCCGAUUCUGUGUCUCCCUCUCUCUGUGACCCUCCCCCGUUCAUGCUCUGUCUCUCUCUGUCUCAAAAAUAAAUAAAAUGUUAAAAAAAAAAAAAAUUAAAAA
rnacentral:lncRNA from 1 species